CCUAAAGAUAAUUACACUUGAAAGACAUAUAAAUAAACACUGAAAAAUAGUUAAACUAAAGUUUCAGUGUUCUGAGAUAAUUAGUAUUAUCACAGAUGCCGCUCUCGGCCUUAAUUCACACCAAAAUUACCUUAAAUUUGGUUUAAUUUAGGUCGUACCAUAAUUUCAAAUUCAAACACUGAAACUUGACAUUUGCCAAAAGUUGGUAACACUGAGUUUCGUGACAGUUGAGAAUCGUAACGGCUCACACCAUAUUUCUUCAUCCUGGGAGCAGGCAGCUGCUAUCAACAAGUGUCUGGUAAACAAACACCCGGCGUCGUGAAUCGAGGUGUCUAUUACCUCGCUGAAGGUCUCGGGAACAAAGAAGAAAACUCGUUCUGCCGCUGGUUACAAGAUACACGCCGUCGCUGGACGCUGUUGACCGGGACGCCGUCCAAGCCAAUGACAACCACUGAUGUCACCACAUUGACAUCGUGAUCCAGGCUAGCGAGGACUGAGGCAGCCAUUCCAGACAACCCAUGCCUGGAUAUACCUCUCGGCCGCUCCACCCCAGGCCUGCGGUGGGACGUCAUGCCCAAAGCCUGACAGAUGUGGUGGACGCUGUCACUGCUGAUGCUACUACCCCAUGCAGUAGACGAGAAUCAAGAAGAAUUCAUCUCGGUCCGUAGUUCGUCCGCGCACUCGUGUACACUAUAAACACUCAUUAAACUGUUAUAUAUUAGCCUCUAAAUGCACCCGCGCUUUUUAACUUUAAGCGUCCAAGUGAACUACCUCGUACAGUUUAUUCUCCAUUCGCUGCCGACACCGGAACGUAAAAAUUCUUCUUUACUUGCUACCCUAACUAACCUUAAAUAAUGGGUAAGCAACCUUGGUUUAAAAUAGGCCUACUUAUUAAAAAUUUAAAAUCUUAAAUUAAACACACAUAAUUUGACACAACUCAUAUUAAAUCAGAUGUGGACUAUUGUUGAGACUGGGUAUUUUUUUCCAUGUUCAUGAUAAAAUGCUGUGUACAUAAAUGUGAUAAUUUUUACUUGUCUACAACAAUAAAUAACUAUUUACACGAA